UUCAAUUGAACUCAUAAACCAUUAACUCUCUACCUAAUUGUUAAACCCUUAUAAACUGUUAAAGUUAACCCCUUAAUAGGCUGUCUACUUUCUGAUAGUACCCUUAAUAAUCUAUCUUCUUUCUGAAUUCUGAUAGUAAACUGUUAAACCCUCAAUUGAACUCGUAAACCCUUAACUCUCUAACUAAUUCUGUUAAACCUGAAAUAAACUGUUAAAGUUAAACCCUUAAUAAACUGUCUAUUUUCUGUUAGUACCCCUAAUAAUCUGUCUACUUUAUGAUAGUAAACUGUUAAACCCUCAAUUGAACUCAUAUACCCUUAACUCUCUAACUAAAUUUGUUAAACCCUUAAUAAACUGUUAAGCCUUACUAAACUGUUAAGUAAGCCCUUAAUAAACUGUUAAACCCUUACUAAACUGUCUACUUUCUGAUAGUAAUUGUCUAGCUUUCUUCAAUGAAUGUAAUUGUUAAACUAUUUUCUCCUUUUUUUUGUUUUGUGUUCUUAUUUUCUCAAUCAGAUGACACCUGAACAACUCUCGA
rnacentral:lncRNA from 1 species